rnacentral:rRNA from 1 species
AGAGUUUGAUCCUGGCUCAGAAUCAACGCUGGCGGCGUGCCUAACACAUGCAAGUCGAACGAGAAAGCGGGGGCAACCCCGUGAGUAAAGUGGCGACCGGGUGAGUAACACGUGACUAACCUGCCCUUGAGUGGUGGAUAACCUCGGGAAACCGGGGCUAAUACCGCAUAACAUCCUGUGGGUGCAAUUCCCGUUGGAUCAAAGGAGCAAUUCGCUGAAGGAGGGGGUCGCGGCCGAUUAGCUAGUUGGUAGGGUAAUGGCCUACCAAGGCGACGAUCGGUAGCCGGCCUGAGAGGGCGCACGGCCACACUGGAACUGAAACACGGUCCAGACUCCUACGGGAGGCAGCAGUGGGGAAUUUUGCGCAAUGGGGGAAACCCUGACGCAGCAACGCCGCGUGGAGGAUGAAGUCCCUUGGGACGUAAACUCCUUUCGACCGGGAAGAUAAUGACGGUACCGGUGGAAGAAGCCCCGGCUAACUUCGUGCCAGCCGCCGCGGUAAUAC